rnacentral:rRNA from 1 species
GACGAACGCUGGCGGCGUGCUUAACACAUGCAAGUCGAACGGAAAGGCCCUGCUUUUGUGGGGUGCUCGAGUGGCGAACGGGUGAGUAACACGUGAGUAACCUGCCCUGGACGUGGGGAUAACUGCAGGAAACUGGGGCUAAUACCUGAUAGGAGCUCCUGCUGCAUGGGGGGGGUUGGAAAGUUUCGGCGGUUGGGGAUGGACUCGCGGCUUAUCAGCUUGUUGGUGGGGUAGUGGCUUACCAAGGCUUUGACGGGUAGCCGGCCUGAGAGGGUGACCAGCCACAUUGGGACUGAGAUACGGCCCAGACUCCUACGGGAGGCAGCAGUGGGGAAUAUUGCACAAUGGGCGGAAGCCUGAUGCAGCAACGCCGCGUUCGGGAUGACGGCCUUCGUGUUGUAAACCGCUUUCGCCUGUGACGAAGCGUGAGUGACGGUAAUGGGUAAAGAAGCACCGGCUAACUACGUG